UACAGAGGGGGCAAGCGUUGUUCGGAAUUACUGGGCGUAAAGGGCGCGUAGGCGGCCUGUUAAGUCGAACGUGAAAUCCCUGGGCUCAACCCAGGAACUGCGUCCGAUACUGGCAGGCUUGAAUUCGGGAGAGGGAUGCGGAAUUCCAGGUGUAGCGGUGAAAUGCGUAGAUAUCGGGAGGAACACCUGAGGCGAAGGCGGGCUACUGGGCCGAUACUGACGCUGAUGCGCGAAAGCCGGGGGAGCAAACGGG
rnacentral:rRNA from 1 species